UCCGCUGACGAGUGGCGAACGGGUGAGUAAUGCGUCGGAACGUGCCGAGUAGUGGGGGAUAACGCAUCGAAAGGUGUGCUAAUACCGCAUACGAACUGAGGUUGAAAGUGGGGGACCUUCGGGCCUCACGCUAUUCGAGCGGCCGACGUCUGAUUGGCUAGUUGGUGAGGUAAAGGCUCACCAAGGCGACGAUCAGUAGCGGGUCUGAGAGGAUGAUCCGCCACACUGGGACUGAGACACGGCCCAGACUCCUACGGGAGGCAGCAGUGGGGAAUUUUGGACAAUGGGCGCAAGCCUGAUCCAGCCAUGCCGCGUGUCUGAAGAAGGCCUUCGGGUUGUAAAGGACUUUUGUCCGGGAGCAAAUGCCUGGUGUUAAUAGCAUCGGGAGCUGAGAGUACCGGAAGAAUAAGCCCCGGCUAACUUCGUGCCAGCAGCCGCGGUAAUA
rnacentral:rRNA from 1 species